GAAAAACUUUAAAUAGCUGCAAUCUUUGUACUAAGGUAGCAUAAUCAUUUGUUUUUUAAUUUUAAACUAGAAUGAAAGGUAAAACAAAUCAUUUCUUUAUUUUUUAUUUUAUUUUAACUUAUAUUAAAUAUAAAAAUAUAUUUUUUAAAAAAAAAGACGACAAGACCCUAUUGAACUUCACUUCAGUUUAGCUGGGGAAGCUAAAUAAUAAAUAUUUUAUUAUAAAUUUUAUAAAUGACCCAAAAUAUUUGAUUAACUAAUCAAGUUACCAUAGGGAUAACAGCGCAAUAAAUUUUUUAAGUUCUUAUAAAAAAAUUUGCUUACGACCUCGAUGUUGAAUUA
rnacentral:rRNA from 1 species